ensembl:lncRNA
ACGGGGGUCUGCUAACCGAAACAACUAUGACAAAGGUUGCCAUCGGUGUGGCUCGAUUGAACAUUGGGUACGCGAUUGUCCUGAAAAAGAAGAUGGACAAAACAAUAGAGACAAUUUUAAUUCCAGUGGAUUUACAGUGAACAAUCCAAGGGGAACUCGGAGAAACGAAGGCUACCAGGAGGAGGGGUUUUGACGCUCGGAGGGGGCAGGACAGGACCCAUCUACCGGUUCUGAACAACAUCCACAGGAGUGUAAAAGCUGCUCUACCAACUCCCAUUGAUGGCCCGCUGCACGACAUCGAGCCUGGUGAUUGGGUAGUCAUCAAGGACUGCAAGAGAAAGCACUGGAGCAAGCCACGCUGGUUGGGUCCAUACCAAGUUCAACUGGUCACUCAGUCUGCUGUCAAGGUUGCUGAACGAGGAACCUGGGUCCACGCCACGCACUGUAAGAAGGCUCCAGCGUUAGAAGAUACGGCGAAAUAAUAGGUAAAUUGAAGUUACCUAAGGGCGGCGUGGGUUGUGGUGCUAGUAACCAACAACUCCAACACAUCCUGCGACCAUGGAGCCAGAGAGACAAGGACCAUGGAACCCCUUCAGGAGAUUCGGAGGAACAAGAUGCACCAUCGGGUGCCUGCUGAUUUUGAGUAUUAUCAUCACCAUACCGAUAGUGUGGAUUUCCAAACCGCACUGUGAUGAUCAUGGACGGAUUGUAAAUAUGACACCUAAUGAAGCAAGGAAAGAGACAUUUGUACUCCAUAAGAAAAGGUCAGAACGAGAGAUAGGGCCUGAUUUUGAACGGACUAGGUUAAUCUCUUGUGACAUGAUGAACUGCCCCCCGGAUGGGGAUUGCUAUGUACUGACAAGCCCAGUGUUGAAGGAUAAUAAGUGGUAUUGGACUCACCUGAAUGCAGGAGGGAACACUAUGUUCCCCUCAUACUAUUUGCCCAACCAUGUGAAUAGGUGGAGAUGUUAUGAUAAUGAUUAUUGUACUGUUAACAUUUCCAAACCUCUAGGAGUAAUCCAGGAUUACUGGUGUUUCAGUACCGAUGAGGAUGACACCCCUUGCAGAUCACCUGACUUCCCUAAAGGUAGACCCGCUAUGAUAUGUCCCUUAACAGUUGCACGUACUACUGUAGUUCCUACUCCUGCACCACGACGUCCUGAACCAAGUAGAGUAAGGAGAGCACUUUUAACUGCAAAACACAAGAACAUGACUGAUUGCUGGAUCUGUCAACACAUACCAACAUCUUCACGUUCACCUAUGUUAACCCCUAUCCCAUUUUCAGUAGCAGACUGGCAGGCACACGGUUGGACCGAGGUGGCAGCACAAAUGACACCACCAGAUAAGGACUUUUAUACCCCGUCUGCCAUUCCUGACCACCCGUGUGAGGCUAACUUAGAUUUGGUCUAUAUGGUGAUAGUAGAAUUUAACAAUCACCGUCGUCCUGUGGGAGUGAAUAUAACCAAAUUAUUUAGGCUAACCUACACCGAGCGAGUAGGAGCACGUGGCUUCAUUGUAAAGAUGCAAAUGAUCCUGGUGCAGACAGACUGUCGCACAGAGGAGGAUGAAGUCAGAACAGGUGCUUCAGGAGCCACACAGAGUUUAGGACAAAGUGAUUGCUCCACCACAACUCAAACCAACUUCGCGGCUCUAGGGGCUUUGCCGGAGCAGGUCUAUAUAGUCUGUGGAGGGAAAGCAUACAGUUGCAUUCCUAGAGACGCAGGUGGAGUAUGCUAUAUGCCGUACUCGGUCCCUUUGAUUAGGCGAGCAGAUCACAGGGAAAUGGCAGCCUUAUAUCAGUCCCAAUUUCGCCAUAAGUGAACACUUACUAGAACUCAACGUAUAUUUAGUGUUCUGAUCCCAGGAUAUGGCACAUACACCUCACAGGAAGAGAUAAUGGCUCUGUCCAAAGUGUUGGAGAAACACAUGAAUUUGACAAAUGACACAAUUCCGGCAAUAGGCACGGAGCUGAGUGAAACCCGUUCAGUUGCUCUGCAGAACAGAAUGGCCCUAGAUAUGAUUUUGGCUUCUCAGGGCGGUGUCUGUAAGGUGGUGGGAUCUGAAUGUUGUACAUACAUUUCAGAUGCAUCACAAAAGGUAAUUAAUUUAGUCCAAGAAACUAAUAAAGGAAUAGAAGAGCUUCAUACAGUUCAUGGGUGGGACCCAUUCUCAGGACUUUCCUCUAUGGUUGGUCCCUGGGGGAUGACAAUAUACAAGUUGUUGACUACUGUUUUAGCCGCCAUUGCCUUUUUGUUUGUUUGUGGUAUAUUUUUGUCUUGUUUAAUAAAAGUGUGUGUUUCUAAGUUUGAAACACAGGUAAUGGUCCAGCAGCAUGUAAAUGAGGAUUCCGAUGUUUCAGAGAUGUUCCAGUUCCCAAAUUACUGGGAUGAUGAUGAUAUCAUAAAAGAUCAUGUUGUUCAGGAGCAUUGUUUGUAGUAGUCUGAAGUUUAAUGAAUAGAUGUAAAUGGUCUGAUUGGUUAAACGUUGCAUGUUUGUAUUACAUGACAUUUUAUGAUAUAGGGCGGAUUGUCAGGGAAAUUUCCCCAUGUUUGGAUAAAUAAAGGAAUGUAGGUAGAGUGGGGUCUGGUGUUUGACUCAGGGAGACAUCCUUGAACAUCAUCCUUGACUGGCACUAGUGGAUUAGUUACUCGUAAAUGAGUUAAUCUGUUUAACACUUUUAGGGUCUAUCCUUGGGUGUCCAGACAUUGUGACUCCUAAAAGGUUGAAAAGGAUUACCAUGUGAAUGUGUUUUAUUGACAUACAUAUUACCACACCCCUUUUUACUCUCCUUUAAAUGAUGAUGCUUGUCCUGUUUUACUUUAGAGAUUAUUCAUUGUUACUUUGUAACCUGUGUAUUCUCUCCUUGCAAGAAUAAACUGAUUAUUGUGCAAAUUGAGUUUUCCUCUGUCUUACCUACCAUUUUCGUAAAUAGUUUGGACUUUAGAAAUUGCCAUCACACC